rnacentral:sRNA from 1 species
GCUGCUGCCGGCUGCGCCAUCCAGCACCCAGACUCCAGCACCGGCCAAGGACCCCUACUCCGGCUGCAGAGACCCUGUCCCAGCGAGACCGCAGGCAUGUCAUCCGAAAAGUCAGGUAAAAACAAUAACAAAACCUCCCACUCCCUCCACUGUCUCCAGACUCUCCGUCCCCCUUGCCCCAACCCCCUCCCUUACCCGUCCUCAGCUGUGGUUCUAUUUCAUUUCCCUUCUCUCCAGCUCUCAACACUCCCCCAGUCCUCCUCUUCUUUCUGUCUCCCCCUUUCUCUUCCUUUCCUCUUUCCAGUCGCAGCCUCUGCCCCUUGCCAACAACAUGGGCAGGGGGGUAGGUUGAGAAGGUGAAGGAGCUACAGCCAGGUUCUGCAGGGAUGGCAUCAUUGGGAGUGACAGAUGGACAAUCACUGGCUGGCAUGGAGACAUCCUGUGGGGAAAUAUGGAGACAUGACCAGAUGGGGGUUGUCAAGGGAGCAAAAUCCAGAGGGCUCUUCUUAAUCUGCCCUAAAAGAGGUCCCGAGAUUCUCACAGAGGCUGGGGCACUCCUCCCCCCACUGAAGGAACAGCAGAGUGGAACACAUGUCAUCCCACAUGUGUUUAUACAACUGUUGAAUUGAGCACAUAUUAACACAGGGUUGCAUGUCUAUGCAUACGCACACACAGGACUAGCUCGGAUAGGCCAGCCCAAAGGCAGCUAUAGCAAAGGAGAGGGGAUUGGGUCUGCAGGUGAGAGCUGGGUGCAUGGUGAUGAAAAAGACAGAAAAGAAGCAGACCAGAGUUGUGACCUCAAAACUAGAUUGGAAGGAAGAAGGAGGGGGGCAGAUGGCCUAGAUACAGCCCCUCUCUUGCCCCCUCAAAUUAGAGAUGGUUUCUCACCCGUCUCUCUCUGUGUGUCUCUCCCAUUAUCUUUCUCCAUCCCUGACCGGCUGUGUUUCCCCUUACCCCCUCCUCAACUCAUCACUGUGUCAUCUUUCGUCUUAUACUCUCCUCCACUCACCUCCCCCAGGACUCCCAGACUCAGUCCCUCACACUUCUCCACCGCCCUACAAUGCCCCUCAGCCUCCAGCCGAACCCCCAGCCCCACCGCCACAGGCAGCCCCUUCCUCACACCAUCACCACCACCACCACUACCAUCAGUCUGGCACCGCCACCCUCCCGCGCUUAGGGGCAGGGGGCCUGGCCUCUUCCGCGGCCACCGCUCAGCGCGGUCCCUCCUCCUCCGCCACGCUGCCGAGGCCCCCCCACCACGCCCCUCCCGGCCCUGCUGCCGGGGCACCCCCACCCGGCUGCGCUACCUUGCCCCGCAUGCCACCCGACCCUUACCUGCAGGAGACUCGCUUCGAGGGCCCACUUCCCCCGCCUCCGCCCGCUGCCGCCGCCCCGCCCCCGCCAGCGCCAGCCCAGACUGCUCAGGCCCCCGGCUUCGUGGUGCCCACGCACGCGGGGACUGUGGGCACGCUGCCGCUGGGGGGCUACGUAGCGCCCGGAUACCCCCUGCAGCUGCAGCCCUGCACUGCUUACGUGCCGGUCUACCCGGUGGGCACGCCAUAUGCAGGCGGGACCCCGGGGGGGACAGGAGUGACCUCCACUCUCCCCCCGCCGCCCCAGGGCCCAGGGCUGGCCCUACUGGAGCCGAGGCGCCCGCCACACGACUACAUGCCCAUCGCGGUGCUGACCACCAUCUGUUGCUUCUGGCCUACUGGCAUCAUUGCUAUCUUCAAGGCCGUGCAGGUGCGCACGGCCUUGGCCCGCGGAGACAUGGUGUCGGCCGAGAUCGCUUCACGCGAGGCCCGGAACUUCUCCUUCAUCUCCCUGGCCGUGGGCAUCGCGGCCAUGGUGCUCUGUACCAUCCUCACUGUAGUCAUCAUCAUCGCCGCGCAGCACCACGAGAACUACUGGGAUCCCUAAAAACACCCCCGGUCCGGCCCCACUCUGCGCCCCUCGAUCUCCCAGGCUCUUUCUGCAGUCAUACCGCGGACCCAAUGGGCGCCCUGCACACCCGUUUCUGGGGCCGUCAGACUUGGCUACAUCGUAAACUCCGCCUCCACGGAACGUCUCGCCUUGCGAGCAAGCUCCGAAUCCAGUUCCUCAGGAACCCCUCCAAAACCCACACCCCCAGGGACGCCGCUUUCCGGGAUCCCAGCCAAACGCGGGACCCUCAGUCGCUCCAGGCCCCCUCACCCUCAAAGUGUAGCGCCCCCAACCGAGCAACCUCGGUUUGGUCCCUAAAACCCCGCCUCCUCUAUAAGCUCCGCCCCAGCUCUGACAAAACCCCGCCUCCAGGUCGGCAGGCUCCGCCUUCUUUUCUUCUCCGCGGGGUGAUUCAGUCCAGUGAUUGGGUUUGUGGCUCCAGGCUUCACCCACAGACGGACAGACCCCUCCCUUUCUUCCGGCAAAAGGACAGAGCCCUAGGGUAGUAAGGCCCCCACACUCCUGUUUUUUGCAAGUACAUUUUUGUCCCUCCUCCACCCAGGUCUCUGCCUAUUUUCUUGCUAAUCCCAGAACCUUUCCUUUUGUUUUUUUAAGGACAUUUGGGAAGUUCCUGGUGUAGGACCCUUCUCCCUGGGAUAAGAAACCUGCCUGUAAACGCUCUGUAAAUACUCCCUUCCACCCACCCCAGCCCCUGGGCAGCCGGGCAGAAGGGAAUCCAGGCUAUGGACCUCCCAAGUCCCCGCUCCCCGCUCCCCUCGGCGGCCCCGCCUUGUUCUGAUCUGUGUGUGAGUGUGUGUGAACUUCUGAAAGACAAUAUUAAAGAGACUUAGUUGAUUUA